rnacentral:rRNA from 1 species
UACGAAGGGGGCUAGCGUUGCUCGGAAUUACUGGGCGUAAAGGGCGCGUAGGCGGAUAGUUUAGUCAGAGGUGAAAGCCCCCGGCUCAACUGGGGAGGGUCACGCGAUACUGCUCGACUCGAAGGCAGGAGAGGGAAGUGGAAUUCCCGGUGUAGUGGUGAAAUGCGUAGAUAUCGGGAGGAACACCAAUGGCGAAGGCAGCUUGCUGGGACGGUACUGACGCUGAGACGCGAAAGCGUGGGGAGCAAACAGG